CUAUGAGAUAUCAAGGAAAAUGUUGAAAUUUGCUUGCAAUUUUAAAGUAAGUGAAAACAUUUCCAGGAUCCUCCCCCUGAUACAGAUCCACACCGGAAUGUAACUGGACCUACCUUGUGUCCUGCUCAUGCCCCACCCCUUCACAAAAUGUCAUGGAAACUAGUUUAGUGGGUGUUGUGUAAUCCUGUAAACAAUCAGACUAGCAAACACGGACAACAACAUAUUUGCAGAGAUGAAAAUCUCUGAGUAUUUGUCUACUGGUAUUCAGGGAAAGUAAUUACAAAAUAAAAGAGGAAAUAACUAAAAAAAGGUGUCGCACAGAGGUGUAGUUGGUGAAAAUACACAGAUCUGCUCAGGUUGUUCUGAAUGAGGAUUUUAUUUAGGAUCCUUCUGGGGUCCACGCACAUUCAUCCCAACCUGAAUGGCCCAUUAGUGUGAGCGUUUCUGAACUCAAAGUGAAAUAUGGAUAAGAUGUAGUGAGUCACAUAAAGUAACAUAUGAUUAAGUAUGAAUCCAGUGGUAUGGCAUUGCUUCAGGUCCCGUUACCACACCGGGAAGGAAAGAGGAAUUUGGGUUUGGUUACAUUGGAAUAAAUAAAAAUAGACUGGGUAGAAGAUUUCGAGUAUUACUUGCAUCAUGAAAUAGCUUUAAUUGGUUUUAGACAAUAACUUGAAAACACAUCUAAAUUCAGACUUUUUAUUAGUUAGGGUCCAAACAAUGUUUUUGCUUCAAACAGUGACUGUAAGUUUACUUGGGUUAAAAUUCCCAAAUUCCUGUUUUUAAGUAUCUCAAGCUGACGAUGAUCGACAUUCCUCUCUAUAUGAAGACUUGGAGGUUUUUGAAGUUCAUCUUUUCAUAUUUCAAUUUUCUAUUGCUCUGUUAAAUUUUCUAGACUCUGGAAAUCUUCAAACCUCAACAAUGAAACGUUUGUGAUGUUUGAAGGUGAAUUUAUUUUCGAUAUGUUGUUGAUAAAAAUGAGGUCAUAUGAAAUAAACCACAGCCCUUUGGUUUCAUCCCUGAACGAUGUCCCUCAAAAAGAUAGUGUUGCAAAUUUCCUUGGUUGGAAGUGUUAAAGUGAAGCUGAGGACACGGUGCUUCGUCUCAAACUGUCCCCUGGGAAUCACCAGCAGGGCUCCAUCUGUUUUUAUUUUUGAUCAUCAUGGAAUUGAAAAGUAUUUAGUUGUUAUCACAUAUCAGCCAGUUGUGUAAAUACUUGGCUUUCCAGAGUCGUACAAAAUAUGCGAUUUUUCCCAUGAAUUGUGCAGCAAAACCAGACAACAAAAAGGGAUCCUGCAAACAGAGAGCACACAUCUGAGGAAUCUAUACUCAGGAGACAAUUCACCAGUGAAAACAUGAAGUCUGUGAUCCUCGCUCUUUUGGUGGUGUUGGUGGUCGGCCACAGUGAAGCCUUGAGGUGUAACUGUGGAGGAAAGACUCAUUGUUCAGACAGAAUUCAGACCUGCUAUGGUUCAGACCAAGUCUGUAUCAGAUUCGGGUUUAAGCCCCCUGUCACCGGAUUCUUCCAGAGUUGCUAUCGAGCAACUGAUUGUCUAAGGUUGAUUAGUUCAGGGGUAGGAACCGGGCGCUGCUGCAGCUCUGAUCAGUGCAACUAAACAAUGAACAUUGUGCAACACAUCUUCCAGUGAAUGAACAAUCCACUGUAAUGCAAUGUUUGCUGCAUUGUCCUAAUAAAGAUCAUUCAGUUUCUGCUUUUGUCUUUUUUCACUUUUCCUUUUUCCCUUGUGUUUAUUAUGGGUUUGGUGUUUGUUGCCUGCAUUGUGUUCUUGUGACAAAGAAGUAAUGCAACAUAGUUUUUUUGAGGAAAUAUUUAAGGGCUUCUAUUACAGUGAUUGGGAUAUUUUAAGAGAUGAAACUUUUAUUUCGAAAAAAGCAAAGCAAUGAAAUGUGAAUGCUAAAAUUUAAGUUUUUGCAGAAGACAUGGGCACAGUUCAAAUCCACACCAAAGUCCCAUCAGCACAUAACAGUUAUAUUAUAGCGCCAUUUUGUGUCUGAUUUUUUUUCAUCAAGCAACAUUAAUUAUUCUAUGAGAUAUCAAGGAAAAUGUUGAAAUUUGCUUGCAAUUUUAAAGUAAGUGAAAACAUUUCCAGGAUCCUCCCCCUGAUACAGAUCCACACCGGAAUGUAACUGGAUCUACCUUGUGUCCUGCUCAUGCCCCACCCCUUCACAAAAUGUCAUGGAAUCUAGUUUAGUGGGUGUUGUGUAAUCCUGUAAACAAUCAGACUAGCAAACACGGACAACAACAUAUUUGCAGAGGUGAAAAUCUCUGAGUAUUUGUCUACUGGUAUUCAGGGAAAGUAAUUACAAAAUAAAAGAGGAAAUAACUAAAAAAAGGUGUCUCACAGAGGUGUAGUUGGUGAAAAUACACAGAUCUGCUCAGGUUGUUCUGCAUGAGGAUUUUAUUUAGGAUCCUUCUGGUGUCCACACACAUUCAUCCCAACCUGAAUGGCCCAUUAGUGUGAGCGUUUCUGAACUCAAAGUGAAAUAUGGAUAAGAUGUAGUGAGUCACAUAAAGUAACAUAUGAUUAAGUAUGAAUCCAGUGGUAUGGCAUUGCUUCAGGUCCCGUUACCACACCGGGAAGGAAAGAGGAAUUUGGGUUUGUUUACAUUGGAAUAAAUAAAAAUAGACUGGGUAGAAGAUUUCGAGUAUUACUUGCAUCAUGAAAUAGCUUUAAUUGAUUUUAGACAAUAACUUGAAAACACAUCUAAAUUCAGACUUUUUAUUAGUUAGGGUCAGAACAAUGUUUUUGCUUCAAACAGUGAGUGUAAGUUUACUUGGGUUAAAAUUCCCAAAUUCCUGUUUUUAAGUAUCUCAAGCUGACGAUGAUCGACAUUCCUCUCUAUAUGAAGACUUGGAGGUUUUUGAAGUUCAUCUUUUCAUAUUUCAAUUUUCUAUUGCUUUGUUAAAUUUUCUAGACUCUGGAAAUCUUCAAACCUCAACAAUGAAACUUUUGUGAUUUUUGAAGGUGAAUUUAUUUUCGAUAUGUUGUUGAUAAAAAUGAGGUCAUAUGAAAUAAACCACAGCCCUUUGGUUUCAUCCCUGAACGAUGUCCCUCAAAAAGAUAGUGUUGCAAAUUUCCUUGGUUGGAAGUGUUAAAGUGAAGCUGAGGACACGGUGCUUCAUCUCAAACUGUCCCCUGGGAAUCACCAGCAGGGCUCCAUCUGUUUUUAUUUUUGAUCAUCAUGGAAUUGAAAAGUAUUUAGUUGUUAUCACAUAUCAGCCAGUUGUGUAAAUACAUGGCUUUCCAGAGUCGUACAAAAUAUACGAUUUUUCCCAUGAAUUGUGCAGCAAAACCAGACAACAAAAAGGGAUCCUGCAAACAGAGAGCACACAUCUGAGGAAUCUAUACUCAGGAGACAAUUCACCAGUGAAAACAUGAAGUCUGUGAUCCUCGCUCUUUUGGUGGUGUUGGUGGUCGGCCACAGUGAAGCCUUGAAGUGUAACUGUAGCGUGAGUAGUCUGUGUUCAGGCAGCAUUCAGACCUGCUCUGGUUCAGACCAAGUCUGUAUAUACUUCAGGUUCAACCCCCCUACUGCCAAAUACUUCCAGAGAUGCAGUGGAGCAGCUGAUUGUCAAUUGUUGAUUAGUGCAGGGAUAGGAACCGGGCGCUGCUGCAGCUCUGAUCUGUGCAACUAAACAAUGAACAUUGUGCAACACAUCUUCAAGUGAAUGAACAAUCCACUGUAAUGUAGUGUUUGCUGAUUGUCCUAAUAAAGAUCAUUCAGUUGCUACUUUUGUCUGUUUUCCCUUUAAAUUGGUCAUAUUUUCCUUGUGUUUAUUAUGGGUUUGGUGUUUGUUGCCUGCAUUGGGCUCUUGUGACAAAGAAGUAAUGCGACAUAGUUUUUUAGGAAAAAUAUAAAGGGGCCUAUAUUACAGUGAUUGGUAUAUUUUAAGAGAUGAAACUUUUAUUUCGAAAAAACAAAAAGCAAAGCAAUGAAAUAUGAAUACUAAAAUUCAAGUUUUUGCAGAAGACAUGGGCACAGUUGUUUUUUUUCACAGAGAGACAUUAAUUAUUCUGUGAGAUAUCAGCAAAACUUUUUGAAAUUUGCUCGCAAUUUGAAAGUAGGUGAAAACAUUUUCCAGGAUCCUCCCCCUGAUACAGAUCCAAACCAGAACGUAACUGGUUCUUCCUUGUGUCAUGGUCAUGCCCCACCCCUUCACAAAAUGUCUUGGAAACUAGUUUAGUAGGUUUUGCGUAAUCCUGAAAACAAUCAAACAAGGAAACAUGGACAACAAGUCUUUGUCUACUUGUAUUUAGGGAAAGUUAUUACAAAAUAAAAGAGGAAAUAACUAAAAAGGUGUUGCACAGAGUUGCAGAUGGUGUUACACUGAUCUACUCAGGUCGUUCUGAAUGAGGAUUUUAUUUAGGAUCCUCUUGGGGUCAACGCACAUUCAUCACAAACUAAAUGGUCCAUUAGUGUCAGUGUUUCUGAACUCAAAGUGAAAUAUGGAUUAGAUGUAAUGAGUCAUAUUAAGUAGCAUAUGAUUAAGUAUGAUUCCAGUGCAUGACAUUGCUUCAGGUCCCGCUCCCACACUCGGAAGGAAGGAGGAAUUUGUGUUUGUUUACAUGGAAAACAUCUGAGUUCAUGCUUGGCAAAAUUACGUCAUGAGCUAUUUAUGAUACGUAUAUCUGCCAGAUUGCAAAGUCGGAUAAAAAAAGACUGGGUAGAAGAUUUUGAGUUUUACUUGCAUGAUGAAAUAGCUUUAAUUUAUUUUAGACAAUAACAUGAAAACAAAUCUAAAUACAGACUUUUUAUUAGUUAGGGUCAAAACAAUGUUUCUGCUUCAAACAGCGACCGAAGUUUCCUUUGGUUAUAAUUCCCAAAUUCCUGUUUUUAAGUAUCUCAGGCUAAACAUGUUAAAAUUCCUCUCUACAUGAAGACUUGUAGGUUUUUGAUAUUAGUCUUUUCAUGUUUGAAGGUGUUUUUGUUUGAUAUGUUGUUGAUAACAAUGAGGUCAUAUGAAAUAAACCACAGCCCGUUGGUUUCAUCCCAGAACGCUGUCCCCCAAAAUGAUAGUGUUGCAAAUUUCCUUGGUUGGAAGUGUUAAAGUGAUAUUUUUGAUCCUCAUAGAAUUUAAAAGUAUUUUGUUGUUAUCACAUGUUAUCCAGUUGUGUAAUACUUGGCUUUCCAGAGUAGUACAAAAUAUGGGAUGUCCAUGAAUUGUGCAGCAAAACCAGACAAUAAAAAGGGAUCCUGCAAACAGAGAGCACACAUCUGAGGAAUCUAAACUAAGGAGACAACUCACCAGUGAAAACAUGAAGUCUGUGAUCCUCGCUCUUUUGGUGGUGUUGGUGGUCGGCCACAGUGAAGCCUUGAAGUGUUUCUGUUCAGGUGAUACACCGUGUUCAGGCAGCAUUAAGACCUGCUAUGGUUCAGACCAAGUCUGUUUAUUCUACAGGUAUAAGCCCCCUUCCAACCAAGAGAUUAAGACUUGCUUUGGGACACCAGCUUGUGAAAUGUUGACGAAUUCACAAUUAGGAACUGGGUUCUGCUGCAGCUCUGAUCUGUGCAACUAAACAAUGAACAUGUGCAACACAUCCACUGUAAUGUAGUGUUUUCUGCAUUGUCCUAAUAAAGAUCAUUCCGUUGCUA